rnacentral:rRNA from 1 species
AUUGAACGCUGGCGGCAUGCCUUACACAUGCAAGUCGAACGGUAGCAGGUCUUCGGAUGCUGACGAGUGGCGAACGGGUGAGUAAUACAUCGGAACGUGCCCGAGAGUGGGGGAUAACGAGGCGAAAGCUUUGCUAAUACCGCAUACGAUCUCAGGAUGAAAGCAGGGGACCGCAAGGCCUUGCGCUCACGGAGCGGCCGAUGGCAGAUUAGGUAGUUGGUGGGAUAAAAGCUUACCAAGCCGACGAUCUGUAGCUGGUCUGAGAGGACGACCAGCCAAACUGGGACUGAGACACGGCCCAGACUCCUACGGGAGGCAGCAGUGGGGAAUUUUGGACAAUGGGCGCAAGCCUGAUCCAGCCAUGCCGCGUGCAGGAUGAAGGCCUUCGGGUUGUAAAAUGCUUUUGUACGGAACGAAAAGACUCUGGUUAAUACCUGGGGUCCAUGACGGUACCGUAAGAAUAAGCACCGGCUAACUACGUGCCAGCCGCCGCCGUAACAC